UAGUCCACGCCGUAAACGAUGUCAACUAGCUGUUGGGGAACUAUGUUCUUCAGUGGCGCAGCUAACGUAGUAAGUUGACCGCCUGGGGAGUACGGCCGCAAGGCUAAAACUCAAAUGAAUUGACGGGGACCCGCACAAGUAGUGGAGCAUGUGGUUUAAUUCGAAGAUACGCGCAGAACCUUACCAACACUUGACAUGUUCGUCGCGACUUUAAGAGAUUAAAGUUUUCGGUUCGGCCGGACGAAACACAGGUGCUGCAUGGCUGUCGUCAGCUCGUGUCGUGAGAUGUUGGGUUAAGUCCCGCAACGAGCGCAACCCUCACUUUUAGUUGCCAUCAUUAAGUUGGGCACUCUGAAAGAACUGCCAGUGAUAAGCUGGGAGGAAGGUGGGGAUGACGUCAAGUCCUCAUGGGCCCUUACGGGGUAGGGGCUACACACGUGCUACAAUGGCGCUGACAAU
rnacentral:rRNA from 1 species